rnacentral:rRNA from 1 species
UCGAGAAUAAUUCACAAUGGGGGAAACCCUGAUGGUGCAACGCCGCGUGGAGGAUGAAGGUCUUCGGAUUGUAAACUCCUGUCAUCUGGGAGUAAGACCUGACGGUGAAUAGCCGGCAGGGUUGAUAGUACCAGAAGAGGAAGGGACGGCUAACUUCGUGCCAGCAGCCGCGGUAAUACGAAGGUCCCAAGCGUUGUUCGGAAUCACUGGGCGUAAAGGGAGCGUAGGCGGCGUGGUAAGUCAGAUGUGAAAUCCCGGGGCUCAACCCCGGAACUGCAUCCGAUACUGCCAUGCUUGAGGGUUGGAGAGGUAGCUGGAAUUCUCGGUGUAGCAGUGAAAUGCGUGGAUAUCGAGAGGAACACUCGUGGCGAAGGCGAGCUACUGGACAACAUCUGACGCUGAGGCUCGAAGGCUAGGGGAGCAAAAG